rnacentral:rRNA from 1 species
CCUACGGGUGGCAGCAGUGGGGAAUAUUGGACAAUGGGGGCAACCCUGAUCCAGCCAUGCCGCGUGUGUGAAGAAGGCCCUCGGGUUGUAAAGCACUUUCAGUGAGGAAGAACGCCUGGUGGUUAAUACCCAUCAGGAAAGACAUCACUCACAGAAGAAGCACCGACUAACUCCGUGCCAGCAGCCGCGGUAAUACGGAGGGUGCGAGCGUUAAUCGGAAUUACUGGGCGUAAAGCGCGCGUAGGUGGCUUGAUAAGCCGGUUGUGAAAGCCCCGGGCUCAACCUGGGAACGGCAUCCGGAACUGUCAAGCUAGAGUGCAGGAGAGGAAGGUAGAAUUCCCGGUGUAGCGGUGAAAUGCGUAGAGAUCGGGAGGAAUACCAGUGGCGAAGGCGGCCUUCUGGACUGACACUGACACUGAGGUGCGAAAGCGUGGGUAGCAAACAGGAUUAGAUACCCUUGUAGUC